rnacentral:rRNA from 1 species
AUUGAACGCUGGCGGCAGGCCUAACACAUGCAAGUCGAGCGGAUGAAGGGAGCUUGCUCCUGGAUUCAGCGGCGGACGGGUGAGUAAUGCCUAGGAAUCUGCCUGGUAGUGGGGGAUAACGUCCGGAAACGGGCGCUAAUACCGCAUACGUCCUGAGGGAGAAAGUGGGGGAUCUUCGGACCUCACGCUAUCAGAUGAGCCUAGGUCGGAUUAGCUAGUUGGUGGGGUAAAGGCCUACCAAGGCGACGAUCCGUAACUGGUCUGAGAGGAUGAUCAGUCACACUGGAACUGAGACACGGUCCAGACUCCUACGGGAGGCAGCAGUAGGGAAUAUUAGACAAUGGGCGAAAGCCUGAUACAGCCAUGCCGCGUGUGUGAAGAAGGUCUUCGGAUUGUAAAGCACUUUAAGUUGGGAGGAAGGGCAGUAAGUUAAUACCUUGCUGUUUUGACGUUACCAACAGAAUAAGCACCGGCUAACUUCGUG